UACGGACGGGGCAAGCGUUGUUCGGAAUCAUUGGGCGUAAAGGGCGCGUAGGUGGUUCUGUAUGUCUACCGUGAAAGCGUACGGCUCAACCGUAUUUUGUCGGUGGAAACUGCAGGACUUGAGGCUGGGAGGGGCUGGUGGAAUUCCCUGUGUAGCGGUGAAAUGCGUAGAGAUGGGGGAGAACACUCGUGGCGAAGGCGGCCAGCUAGACCAGUUCUGACACUGAGGCGCGAAAGCUAGGGGAGCAAACGGG
rnacentral:rRNA from 1 species